AAACGCCUCGUUGAACCCCUUGUAUCUUCUCUCGGCUUCCCUUCGCUCUGAGAAAGAGAGAGAGACUGAGAAAAAAGCCCAACCAAAAACCCACAGAGCUAAAGAGCUCCCUCCAAGAAUCUAAAAAAAUCCCCUCCUCUCGCACGUGCUGCACACACACUCUCAAAUUCCCAUCUUUUCUUUUUAAUAGAAAAAAAUUGAAUUGAUAUUUGUUCUUGGUUCCAAAUUUCUGAUAUUUGCAAACUCUCCCACCUUUGGAUCCCCACGGCUUUUCAUCAAAUCCUCCGGGCUGCGCCACACUACUCUCCUGAAACAUGUCGUCUUGAAGGUUUUACAGGAGCUAUGGCUCUUCAAAAAUUUCCUUCUCGUGAUGCACCUUCUGUUACUAUGAAACCUUUGAGCUUUCUCAGUAAGGUGCAUGGCAACAAUCGAUCAGAGGAUCUAGAGACAAGUCCUGCUAAGGAACCUGA